rnacentral:rRNA from 1 species
UACGUAGGGUGCAAGCGUUAUCCGGAAUUAUUGGGCGUAAAGAGCUCGUAGGCGGUUCGUCGCGUCGGCUGUGAAAACCUGAGGCUCAACCUCAGGCCUGCAGUCGAUACGGGCGGACUUGAGUACUGCAGGGGAGACUGGAAUUCCUGGUGUAGCGGUGAAAUGCGCAGAUAUCAGGAGGAACACCGGUGGCGAAGGCGGGUCUCUGGGCAGUAACUGACGCUGAGGAGCGAAAGCGUGGGGAGCGAACAGG